rfam:TPA: Bos taurus chromosome 12, whole genome shotgun sequence.
CCUGGUGGCUCAGACAGUAAAGUGUCUGGCUGCAGUGCAGAAGACCCAGGUUCAAUCCCUGGGUCAGGA